CCUUUGAAGAAAUUCAGAGACACAAUCGGAAUAAUAUGGGUUUAAUCUCUUGUUUUCGCAGAAUUGGCAAUGGCAGUCAAGCGAACGAAGUGUACCACAACAAAGAAUCGUACGAUUGAUGUAUGGUGUAGCAUUGCAGUCUUUUUAACUCAUGAGCUAUUCUUCUGUCUAACAAUCCUGUUGUUCCGAGAACUUCUGCCGAAUAUUGAUGCAUGGAUCUCAGUGGAUUUUUUGAUGGUGCUUUCGGUUUUUAUUCUACGUUUCAUAGCGUUCAGCAUAGAACAUUUGAUGCUUAUUUAUCAUAUGAUUCAAGGGACUGAAUAUAAGGUAUGGCGCCUGUGCCUAAAAAUUAGAAGAUUGUACUUCGCUUACUGCACUGCGAUGAUUAUUGGUAUGGCACUAGUCGUUGAGGUUGGAACUGAGAGCGGGCGUUUUGCACUGUCAUUUUUAGUAGCAAUAUGUCUUCAUCAUGAACUAAGUACGAUUGGUAUGCAUGUGGUUCGUCACCACUAGAUAUACAAGGGCAAGGGCAAGGACAAGGGCAACUCAUUUUAUGCGUUCAGAUUGAUGCCUGCCAUUAUUUUUGGUGGUCUUGCAAUCCUGAUAUUUUUAAUACGAAAUCUCCCAAUGCAAUUAACACAUGGAACCAAAUCAUCAAUGGAUCUUGCAAUCCAAGAAAUCAAAGAAGUGAAUCGCAAUCAAGCAAUAAAGAUGCUAUUUCCUGAUCCAAAAGAUAAAAACGAUGUGACCUUUGGAACAUCCCUAUUAUUAAUUAUGCUAUAUGUUACUUUUCUGAGUUUCGAGCUAUUUCUCGCAGUUGAAUAUUGCCCUGGACUCAAACAUGCAGGAUUCUUGAAACUGUGGCAAGAGUCAUCUAAGAAGCUCCGAGAUUUAUAUUCUCGGUUGAAGACACCCAAGAGUAAAACCACAAUAGAAACAAUAUAAGGUUGAUUCGAAAAUAUGAUGAUUCAUUUUUGCAUUUCUUUAACUUUAAAUGAAAGUGUAAAUCAACGAAUGGAAGAUUUGAACAAUAUUGAUUACUGAAUCUGUUCCAUUAUUCAUUUGAACUAAUCGAACGAAAAUAAAGUAUGAAUUUUCAAUAACAA